CCUCAAACAGUCGACGUGUGCCACCCUUUUAUUACGGGUUACAAUGUCUGCGCUAGAACGGGACUUUUCAUCGGAAAAUAGCAAAUUUGAAUGAGUAUAAUCGGAAAAACGCGGUUCCGUCUGCAGCAUAAGCAUCACCGUUUUCGCCAACUGCACAUAUGAACCCACCGAUACAAGUUGCCGGUGUUUCUAUUCAUAUCUGGCUACUUCAGACCUACAGUUGUUGCUUCUAUGAUGCUCAAUCUUCUCCUUCCUUAUUAAUGCUAAAGGGGGAUACGAUUCGCAAGGUUAUUGGGUCAGUCCGAUAUAGUGAUGGCUAAAUUUGGGCUAGUAAUAUGAGUUUCCGAACAGGGUUGGGGUUUUUCGGACCUUUCAUGUACUUUUGCGCAGAACCGUUUAUACACAAUACGGUAAAAGAUCGGAAAAUAUCGCAUAAAUAAAAAUCUGUGCAAUCGAUCAGGCUUUCAGAAUAAGAUACUUAUUUGUGAAUCGGUUGACUCAUUCCAGUUCUAUAGCUCACAAAUCCUUACUAGGUUUGAAUUGGCCCAGUUCCUCUAUGUUUUAGUUGCAAGAAAAAAAUAUUUUCAUUUCAAUUAAAUCGUGAUGCUUGUACUAACAAAUUAGUUGUAAUGAAGCCCAAAUUUUGUUACCCAAUAGCUAACAUGAAAAUUUGUUAGAUAUUAAAUACAAUUUUAUUGGUUUUA